GGGGGGGGCUGGGGGGGGGGCGGAGGGGGGCGGGGUGAGGGGGGGCGUCGGGUCUGGGGGCGGACGGGGGCGUAAGGGGUGGGGUGCUGCGGGGAGGGUCGGAAGAACUCCACGAGAUGGGUGCUAAUGCCGGAGGAUUGCGUCUGCGCACAGUUGUAUCGACUUUUGAUGGGCCCGCGUUGCAUUAGCUGGGUGGUAGGGUAAGAGCCUAGCAAGGAGAAGAUCCAUAGCUGGUCUGAGAGGAUGAUCAGGUACAGGGGGAAUGAGACACGGCCCAGACUCAUACGGGAGGAAGAAGUGGGGAAUAGUGGACAAUGGGCGAAAGCCUGAUCCAGCAAUGCCGCGGGAGUGAUGAAGGCAUUAGGGUUGUAAAGCUCUUUUAACCGGGAGGAUAAUGACAUUACCGGGAGAAUACGCGCCGGCUAAUUCCGUG
rnacentral:rRNA from 1 species